UACGGGGGGAGCAAGCGUUGUUCGGAUUUACUGGGCGUAAAGGGCGCGUAGGCGGCCACCGCAAGUCGAUUGUGAAAUCUCCGGGCUUAACCCGGAAAGGUCAACCGAUACUGCGGGGCUAGAGUGCAGAAGGGGCAACUGGAAUUCUCGGUGUAGCGGUGAAAUGCGUAGAUAUCGAGAGGAACACCGGUGGCGAAGGCGGGUCUCUGGGCCGAUACUGACGCUGAGGAGCGAAAGCGUGGGGAGCGAACAGG
rnacentral:rRNA from 1 species